CUUUGGUGCAUAAUGGUGGUUUAUUAAAGUACGGGGACAGGACCCAUGGGCAGGAAGAACUGCUGCUCAGGACUGUGAGGGAUGGCAGCCAGCCUCCUGCUCCCUCAUCAAAUUAUAUUCCAUCUCUCAAUGGAAGGAACAGCCAAGAACCUACAGCCAUGUUUAAUCUGCCACCACUAUGUAUAUGGAGCUACACUGCCAUACUUGCAGAGUUAGUCAAAUGUUGUAGGUUACAGGAUAUCACGUCACCACAUUCCCUUGAUGUUCUCUGA
rnacentral:lncRNA from 1 species